rnacentral:rRNA from 1 species
UACGGGGGGAGCAAGCGUUGUUCGGAUUUACUGGGCGUAAAGGGCGCGUAGGCGGCGCGGUAUGUCACCUGUGAAAUCUCCUGGCUCAACUGGGAGCUUGCAGGCGAAACUGCCGUGCUGGAGUGUGGGAGAGGUGCGUGGAAUUCCCGGUGUAGCGGUGAAAUGCGUAGAUAUCGGGAGGAGCACCUGUGGCGAAAGCGGCGCACUGGACCACAACUGACGCUGAGGCGCGAAAGCUAGGGGAGCAAACAGG